rnacentral:rRNA from 1 species
CCUACGGGUGGCAGCAGUGAGGAAUAUUGGUCAAUGGACGUAAGCCUGAACCAGCCAAGUCGCGUGAGGGAUGAAGGUUCUAUGGAUCGUAAACCUCUUUUAUAAGGGAAUAAAGUGUGGGACGUGUCGUAUUUUGUCUGUACCUUAUGAAUAAGGAUCGGCUAACUCCGUGCCAGCAGCCGCGGUAAUACGGAGGAUCCGAGCGUUAUCCGGAUUUAUUGGGUUUAAAGGGUGCGUAGGUGGCUUUUUAAGUCAGCUGUGAAAGGUUGUGGCUCAACCAUAGAAUUGCAGUUGAAACUGGGAGUCUUGAGUAUGGUUGAGGCAGGCGGAAUGCGUGGUGUAGCGGUGAAAUGCUUAGAUAUCACGAAGAACCCCGAUUGCGAAGGCAGCCUGCUAGACCAUAACUGACGCUGAUGCACGAAAGCGUGGGGAUCAAACAGGAUUAGAUACCCCUGUAGUC